rnacentral:rRNA from 1 species
CGGCCACAUUGGAACUGAGACACGGUCCAAACUCCUACGGGAGGCAGCAGUGGGGAAUAUUGCACAAUGGGCGAAAGCCUGAUGCAGCAACGCCGCGUGAGUGAUGAAGGCCUUCGGGUCGUAAAACUCUGUCCUCAAGGAAGAUAAUGACGGUACUUGAGGAGGAAGCCCCGGCUAACUACGUGCCAGCAGCCGCGGUAAUACGUAGGGGGCUAGCGUUAUCCGGAUUUACUGGGCGUAAAGGGUGCGUAGGCGGUCUUUCAAGUCAGGAGUGAAAGGCUACGGCUCAACCGUAGUAAGCUCUUGAAACUGGGAGACUUGAGUGCAGGAGAGGAGAGUGGAAUUCCUAGUGUAGCGGUGAAAUGCGUAGAUAUUAGGAGGAACACCAGUUGCGGAGGCGGCUCUCUGGACUGUAACUGACGCUGAGGCACGAAAGCGUGGGGAGCAAACAGGAUUAGAUACCCUGGUAGUCCACGCUGUAAA